rnacentral:rRNA from 1 species
GUCCUUUUGUUUUAUAUUUAAGGUUUAACCUGCCCACUGAAUAAAUUUUAAAUGGCCGCAGUAUUUUGACUGUGCAAAGGUAGCAUAAUCAUUAGUUUUUUAAUUAGAAGCUUGUAUGAAAGGUUGGACGAGGUAAAAUCUGUCUCUAUUUAAUUUAAUAUAGAAUUUAAUUUUUAAGUUAAAAAGCUUAAAUUUUUUUAAAAGACGAGAAGACCCUAUAGAUCUUUAUAUUUAAUAUUUUUAUUUAAAUUUAGUUUUAUUAAAAUUUUAUUGUAUUAAAUAUUUUAUUGGGGUAAUAAGAAGAUUAAAAUAAUUCUUUUAUUUUGUUAACAUUAAUUUAUGUUUAAAUGAUCCAGUUUUAUUGAUUAUAAGAUUAAGUUACCUUAGGGAUAACAGCGUAAUUUUUUUAAAGAGUUCAUAUCGAUAAAAAAGUUUGCGACCUCGAUGUUGGAUUAAAGAUUAAUUUAGGUGUAGAAGUUUAAAUUUUUGGUCUGUUCGACCAUUGAAUCUUUACAUGAUCUGAGUUCAGAUCGGUGUAAGCCAGGUCGGUUUCUAUCUUUAAAAAUUUAAAAUAUUUUAGUACGAAAGGACCAAAUAUUUAAUAUAUUUAUAUUUAUAAUAAUGAAUAUUAUUAAUUUAUUAUUUUGGCAGAUUAGUGCAAUGAAUUUAGAAUUCAUAAAUGUAAAUUAUUUUACAGAUAAUACUUGUUUUAUAAAGAUUUAAUAUUUUCUUUAAUUUGUAUAUUAUUAUUAAUUAUUUGUGUAUUA